ACGAACGCUGGCGGCGUGCCUAAUACAUGCAAGUCGAGCGAGGUAGCUUGCUACCUAGCGGCGAACGGGUGAGUAACACGUAGGUAACCUGCCUUGAGACUGGGAUACCCGAGCGAAAGUUCGGCUAAUACCGGAUAACAACGGGGACGGCAUCGUCUCCGCUUGAAAGGUGCGUUUGCACCACUCUUAGAUGGACCUGCGGCACAUUAGCUAGUUGGUGAGAUAACAGCCCACCAAGGCAAGGAUGUGUAGCCGACCUGAGAGGGUGACCGGCCACAAUGGGACUGAGACACGGCCCAUACUCCUACGGGAGGCAGCAGUAGGGAGUUUUCGGCAAUGGGCGAAAGCCUGACCGAGCAACGCCGCGUGAAGUGAUGAAGGUCUUCGGAUUGUAAAGCUCUGUUACGAGGGACGAAUUACCGGGUCAGGAAAUGGGCCCGGCUUGACGGUACCUCGCCAGAAAGUGACGGCUAACUACGUGCCAGCAGCGGC
rnacentral:rRNA from 1 species